rnacentral:rRNA from 1 species
AUACGUAGGGAGCGAGCGUUGUCCGGAAUUACUGGGUGUAAAGGGUGCGUAGGCGGGGAUGCAAGUCAGAUGUGAAAUGUAUGGGCUCAACCCAUGAACUGCAUUUGAAACUGCAACUCUUGAGUGAGGUAGAGGUAAGCGGAAUUCCUAGUGUAGCGGUGAAAUGCGUAGAUAUUAGGAGGAACAUCGGUGGCGAAGGCGGCUUACUGGGCCUUUACUGACGCUGAGGCACGAAAGCGUGGGGAGCAAACAGGAUUAGAUACCCUGGUAGUCCACGCUGUAAACGAUGAUGACUAGGUGUGGGGGGACUGAACCCUUCCGUGCCGCAGUUAACACAAUAAGUCAUCCACCUGGGGAGUACGACCGCAAGGUUGAAACUCAAAUGAAUUGACGGGG